CCCUUAGAUGUCCUGGGCCGCACGCGCGCUACACUGAUGCAUUCAACGAGUUUUACCUUGGCCGAGAGGCCUGGGCAAUCUUUUAAACCUGCAUCGUGAUAGGGAUAGAUUAUUGCAAUUAUUAAUCUUGAACGAGGAAUUCCUAGUAAACGCAGAUCAUCAAUCUGCAUUGAUUACGUCCCUGCCCUUUGUACACACCGCCCGUCGCACCUACCGAUUGAAUGGUCCGGUGAGGCCUCGGGAUUGUGGCCAGUUCACUUUAUUGGGAGUUGGCUGCGAGAACUUGUCUAAACCUUAUCAUUUAGAGGAAGGUGAAGUCGUAACA
rnacentral:rRNA from 1 species